GAAGCCACGCACACUGGGUGGUGCGUGGGGGGAGUGCACUGUGGAUGCUCGCGCUGCCACAGGAAGAAGUUGAUCUGAAAAGGAAGUGACAUCAUGGCGAUUGUUUGCGUGACACACCUUCACUUCCUGCAUGAAGUGAGAACACGUCCAUGACAUCAUUCCUUCUUGAAAGCUUCCAGGCUAUUCCGUCCCGGUCGCUGCCGUUCUGUCCUUGGGCAGAAUGCCUCACCCACAUUGACCCCAGCCUCGUGGAGGUUUCAAUGACCAGGUUGUUGACCUACGGCCCGGAUCCGGUACCUAGGCGCCGAGCGACGUCUGCUUGCUGAUCUUUGAAUAAAACAUCACGUUCCCCUGAAGGUCGCAUCAUUCGUGCGUCAGAGGCCAGGCGUAACUGGCGGUCAAGCACAUGGACUUCAUCAACGCCAGGAGGAGACUGCGUUCCAAAACGUCCAAACAACAUAUUAAUAAGGAGUGGAGCUGUGAGCAAAGUUGUGUGAGGUCCGGAAGAACUUUCUCUUGAUGAUGGGGCCCGCCCCCGCCCCCCAUACACACAAGGGAGCAGACGCAGCCAACACUCGGACCCUCCAAGAACCUCUGGCAGGACAUGAAAGAGUCCAACAUGGCUGAUGUCAUCUCUUGACGUGACCUGACGCCAGGACAGGAAGUGACGACGUUUGGCUCGCCUCAAAGCACUUCCUUCCAGCGGGCGUCGCCCUCUCCUGGAGGAAGGCUUCGGCGAGGCUGACCCCACGCAUCGCAGCCUAUCGUAGCAGUCCCCGCCGCACUUAGAAGCGCUGACAGUCCAGUAUUUAGUUUGCUGGGACGUCCAGGGGACACCCGGACCCCCCGCCGUGACAUGUCCCGGGUGACGCGGGGGAGGGGCGGCACAUGCAGUGUUUGUGUGUUGUGUCGCCUCUGACGCAAGCCAGGCGUUGAGUUGUAGUGUCUGGUGUCACGGGGACGCAUAGCAACGCAAAGGCUGCCUAUAAAUAAACGUCCACGUCCUAUUUUCACCCUGCAGGCUCCACUUCCUUUACCUCCUCUCACCAUCCACUGCCGCCACU